GACGAACGCUGGCGGCGUGCUUAACACAUGCAAGUCGAACGGACAGGCCCUGCUUUUGUGGGGUGCUCGAGUGGCGAACGGGUGAGUAACACGUGAGUAACCUGCCCUUGACUUUGGGAUAACUUCAGGAAACUGGGGCUAAUACCGGAUAGGAGCUCCUGCUGCAUGGUGGGGGUUGGAAAGUUUCGGCGGUUGGGGAUGGACUCGCGGCUUAUCAGCUUGUUGGUGGGGUAGUGGCUUACCAAGGCUUUGACGGGUAGCCGGCCUGAGAGGGUGACCGGCCACAUUGGGACUGAGAUACGGCCCAGACUCCUACGGGAGGCAGCAGUGGGGAAUAUUGCACAAGGGGCGGAAGCCUGAUGCAGCAACGCCGCGUGCGGGAUGACGGCCUUCGGGUUGUAAACCGCUUUCGCCGGGGACGAAGCGUGAGUGACGGUAAUGGGUAAAGAAGCACCGGCUAACUACGGG
rnacentral:rRNA from 1 species